rnacentral:rRNA from 1 species
CUUGGCGGCUUUAUCAUUUCUCCGACUGGGGACCUAUUGGUAAACCUUGGGGGGUUUUUGGAUUUCCUUCCGGGUGGGGACUGCUGUGCGGGGGAGAAGUCGGCUUUCCCUUGAACCCUUUUUCAGGGCUAUGUCACACAACCUCUGGAAUGUGUUUAGAAUGUCCUAUAAAAGUUAUAAAAUACGGCUUUCACCAACGGAUCUCUUGGCUCUCGCAUCGAUGAAGAACGCAGCGAAAUGCGAUAGGUAGGGUGAAUUGCAGAAUUCAGUGAAUCAUCGAAUCUUUGAACGCAUCUGGCGCUCCUUGGUAUUCCGAGAAGCAUGCCUGUUUGAGUGUCAUUUAAACUCUCAAAGCACAUCAUUCGGUUGACAUGUCUUUGGAGGGGGGGGGGUGCCGGGCUCUUCUUCUCACCUCCCCUGAAAUGCAUUAUUGGUAUCUGGAGCGGAAAACCGCGAGGUGUGAUAAAUACUGUCUAUGCCUUUGUUUAUGCGCCGUGUGCUGCUUCCCAACGCACCAUUUAUUUGACAAGGUUGACCUCAAAUCACGUAUGACUACCCGCUGAAC